rnacentral:rRNA from 1 species
GACGAACGCUGGCGGCGUGCCUAAUACAUGCAAGUAGAACGCACAGUUUAUACCGUAGCUUGCUACACCAUAGACUGUGAGUUGCGAACGGGUGAGUAACGCGUAGGUAACCUGCCUGGUAGCGGGGGAUAACUAUUGGAAACGAUAGCUAAUACCGCAUAAUAUUAAUUAUUGCAUGAUAAUUAAUUGAAAGGUGCAAUUGCACCACUACCAGAUGGACCUGCGUUGUAUUAGCUAGUAGGUGAGGUAACGGCUCACCUAGGCGACGAUACAUAGCCGACCUGAGAGGGUGAUCGGCCACACUGGGACUGAGACACGGCCCAGACUCCUACGGGAGGCAGCAGUAGGGAAUCUUCGGCAAUGGACGAAAGUCUGACCGAGCAACGCCGCGUGAGUGAAGAAGGUUUUCGGAUCGUAAAGCUCUGUUGUAAGAGAAGAACGGGUGUGAGAGUGGAAAGUUCACACUGUGACGGUAUCUUACCAGAAAGGGACGGCUAACUACGUGCCAGCAGCCGCGGUAAUACGUAGGUCCCGAGCGUUGUCCGGAUUUAUUGGGCGUAAAGCGAGCGCAGGCGGUUAGAUAAGUCUGAAGUUAAAGGCUGUGGCUUAACCAUAGUACGCUUUGGAAACUGUUUAACUUGAGUGCAGAAGGGGAGAGUGGAAUUCCAUGUGUAGCGGUGAAAUGCGUAGAUAUAUGGAGGAACACCGGUGGCGAAAGCGGCUCUCUGGUCUGUAACUGACUCUGAGCUCGAAAGCGUGGGGGAGCGAACAGGAUAUAUACCCUGGUAGUCCCAGGGCGAAUUCCACAGUGGAUAUCAGCUUAUCGUACCGGCGACCUCGAGGGGGGGCCCGGUACCCAGCUUUUGUUCCCUUGAGUGAGGGGUUAUUAUG